GACGAACGCUGGCGGCGUGCUUAACACAUGCAAGUCGAACGGGAUUUAGUAGACAGAAGCCUCGGCUAAAGAUUACUAAUGAGAGUGGCGAACGGGUGAGUAACGCGUGAGCAACCUGCCUAUGACAGUGGGAUAGCCUCGGGAAACCGGGAUUAAUACCGCAUAAAAUCGUAGAAACACAUGUUUUAACGGUCAAAGAUUUAUCGGUCAUAGAUGGGCUCGCGUCUGAUUAGCUAGUUGGUGAGAUAACAGCCCACCAAGGCGACGAUCAGUAGCCGGUCGGAGAGGAUGAACGGCCACAUUGGAACUGAGACACGGUCCAAACUCCUACGGGAGGCAGCAGUGGGGAAUAUUGCACAAUGGGGGAAACCCUGAUGCAGCGACGCCGCGUGAACGAAGAAGGUAUUCGUAUCGUAAAGUUCUGUCCUAUGGGAAGAUAAUGACAGUACCAUAGAAGAAAGCACCGGCUAAAUACGUG
rnacentral:rRNA from 1 species